rnacentral:rRNA from 1 species
AUGAACGCUGGCGGCGUGCCUAAUACAUGCAAGUCGAGCGAACAGACGAGGAGCUUGCUCCUCUGACGUUAGCGGCGGACGGGUGAGUAACACGUGGAUAACCUACCUAUAGGACUGGGAUAACUUCGGGAAACCGGAGCUAAUACCGGAUAAUAUAUUGAACCGCAUGGUUCAAUAGUGAAAGACGGUUUUGCUGUCACUUAUAGAUGGAUCCGCGCCGCAUUAGCUAGUUGGUAAGGUAACGGCUUACCAAGGCGACGAUGCGUAGCCGACCUGAGAGGGUGAUCGGCCACACUGGAACUGAGACACGGUCCAGACUCCUACGGGAGGCAGCAGUAGGGAAUCUUCCGCAAUGGGCGAAAGCCUGACGGAGCAACGCCGCGUGAGUGAUGAAGGUCUUCGGAUCGUAAAACUCUGUUAUUAGGGAAGAACAAAUGUGUAAGUAACUAUGCACGUCUUGACGGUACCUAAUCAGAAAGCCACGGCUAACUACGUG